rnacentral:rRNA from 1 species
UAACGCGUGGAUAACCUGCCUCACACUGGGGGAUAACAGUUAGAAAUGCUGCUAAUACCGCAUAAGCGCACAGUACCGCAUGGUACAGUGUGAAAAACUCCGGUGGUGUGAGAUGGAUCCGCGUCUGAUUAGCCAGUUGGCGGGGUAACGGCCCACCAAAGCGACGAUCAGUAGCCGACCUGAGAGGGUGACCGGCCACAUUGGGACUGAGACACGGCCCAA